CUUCUCUGAACUCGCUCUAAAGUAUCAAUAUUCUUCUGAAGAUACGGUCUCCAGUACUGCGUACAAUACUCCAAGUGAGGUCUCACCAGUGUUCUGUUCAGUGGCAUGAGCCCUUCCCUCUUUCUACUGCUAAUACCUCUCCCUAUACAACCAAGCAUUCUGCUAGCAUUUCCUGCUGCUCUAUUUCAUUGCCUGCCUACAUUUAAGUCAUCAGAAAUAAUCACCCCUAAAUCCCUUUCCUCAGAUGUUGAGGUUAGGAUUCUAUCAAAUAUUCUGUACUCUUUCGC